rnacentral:rRNA from 1 species
CAGCAGCCGCGGUAAUACAGAGGAUGCAAGCGUUAUCCGGAAUGAUUGGGCGUAAAGCGUCUGUAGGUGGCUUUUCAAGUCCGCCGUCAAAUCCCAGGGCUCAACCCUGGACAGGCGGUGGAAACUACCAAGCUGGAGUACGGUAGGAGCAGAGGGAAUUUCCGGUGGAGCGGUGAAAUGCGUUGAGAUCGGAAAGAAUACCAACGGCGAAAGCACUCUGCUGGGCCGACACUGACACUGAGAGACGAAAGCUAGGGGAGCAAAUGGGAUUAGAUACCCCUGUAGUCCCUGUCUCUUAUAC